rnacentral:lncRNA from 1 species
AAAUCCAGUGACAAACACCACUGUGCAUUUUCCCACAGUGUGCACAAGCAGACCUUCCUCCAUUCUGACCAGUUUGACCGCCUGACUGACUCCCAGAUUGAUUGCCUGACCUGUUUUGUUGAUUCCCCUGAUUCCCAUUUUUCUGCUGAAAGCUGCGGGUGUUGUACCUCUGAUUGUUCUGUCUAAAUCCGCCCGAAGAUCCACCAUUAUUCUGGAAUUUGGGCGGAUCAUCAUCUCUCUUCCUCUUCUGACCCUGCAUGUCCUUUUGUUUACGAAAAUCAGCCUGAUGAAGCUCCUGGUCCCUGGCACUAUCAACUAAGCUGUCCAUAGUGGUGUAGCGGUUGGCGAUAAUAUGAUUCCGGAUUG